rnacentral:rRNA from 1 species
GUUGUAUGGUUAAGUGACUAAGCGUACACGGUGGAUGCCUUGGCAGUCAGAGGCGAUGAAAGACGUAGUAACUUGCGAUAAGCCCAGAUUAGGUAGUAACAACCAUUUGAGUCUGGGAUUUCUGAAUGGGGAAACCCACGUGCAUAAGCACGUAUCCUUACCUGAAUACAUAGGGUAAGGAGGCGAACCGGGGGAACUGAAACAUCUAAGUACCCCGAGGAAAAGAAAUCAACCGAGAUUCCGAAAGUAGCGGCGAGCGAAAUUGGACUAGCCCUUAAGCUUUACACGCGUUAGACGAACGGUCUGGAAAGUCCGACGAUACAGGGUGAUAGUCCCGUAGUUGACGACGUGUGUUCAGUGAAAUCGAGUAGGGCGGGACACGUGAUAUCCUGUCUGAAUAUGGGGGGACCAUCCUCCAAGGCUAAAUACUACUGACUGACCGAUAGUGAACCAGUACCGUGAGGGAAAGGCGAAAAGAACCCCUGUGAGGGGAGUGAAAUAGAACCUGAAACCGUGUACGUACAAGCAGUAGGAGCAGGCUUUGUCCUGUGACUGCGUACCUUUUGUAUAAUGGGUCAGCGACUUAUAUUCAGUGGCAAGGUUAACCAUCUAGGGGAGCCGUAGGGAAACCGAGUCUUAACUGGGCGUUCAGUCUCUGGAUAUAGACCCGAAACCAGGUGAUCUAGCCAUGGGCAGG